rnacentral:snoRNA from 1 species
UCAUCAGGUGGGAUAAUCCUUACCUGUGCCUCCAUUUGGAGGGUAGAUAGAAAAUGAUAAUUGGAGCAUCGCAUGACACGUGAUUAGUGUGCUGUGUAAUCAGGACUUGCAAUAUUAUACAGGCCCACAUUCUAAA